AGUGAACGCUGGCGGUAGGCCUAACACAUGCAAGUCGAACGGCAGCACAGUAAGAGCUUGCUCUUACGGGUGGCGAGUGGCGGACGGGUGAGGAAUACAUCGGAAUCUACUUUUUCGUGGGGGAUAACGUAGGGAAACUUACGCUAAUACCGCAUACGACCACGGGGGAAAGCAGGGGAUCUUCGGACCUUGCGCGAUUGAAUGAGCCGAUGUCGGAUUAGCUAGUUGGCGGGGUAAAGGCACACCAAGACGACGAUCCGUAGCUGGUCUGAGAGGAUGAUCAGCCACACUGGAACUGAGACACGGUCCAGACUCCUACGGGAGGCAGCAGUGGGGAAUAUUGGACAAUGGGCGCAAGCCUGAUCCAGCCAUACCGCGUGGGUGAAGAAGGCCUUCGGGUUGUAAAGCCCUUUUGUUGGGAAAGAAAAGCAGCAGGUUAAUACCCCGCUGUUCUGACGGUACCCAAAGAAUAAGCACCGGCUAACUUCGUG
rnacentral:rRNA from 1 species